UACGUAGGGCGUGAGCGUUGUCCGGAAUUAUUGGGCGUAAAGAGCUCGUAGGCGGUUUGUCGCGUCGGUUGUGAAAACCCAAGGCUCAACCUUGGGCCUGCAAUCGAUACGGGCAGACUAGAGUACUGCAGGGGAGACUGGAAUUCCUGGUGUAGCGGUGGAAUGCGCAGAUAUCAGGAGGAACACCGGUGGCGAAGGCGGGUCUCUGGGCAGUAACUGACGCUGAGGAGCGAAAGCGUGGGGAGCGAACAGG
rnacentral:rRNA from 1 species